rnacentral:rRNA from 1 species
UACGUAGGGUGCGAGCGUUAAUCGGAAUUACUGGGCGUAAAGCGUGCGCAGGCGGUGAUGUAAGACAGUUGUGAAAUCCCCGGGCUUAACCUGGGAACUGCGCUUGUUACUGGCAGGCUUGAGUGUGGCAGAGGGGGGUGGAAUUCCACGUGUAGCAGUGAAAUGCGUAGAGAUGUGGAGGAACACCGAUGGCGAAGGCAGCCCCCUGGGCUAACACUGACGCUCAUGCACGAAAGCGUGGGGAGCAAACAGG